GAGCUAAUACAUGCAUCAAAGCUCUGCCCGAAAGGAACGAGCGCAUUUAUUAGAAUAAAAACCAAUCGGGUUUCGGCCCGUAAUUUGGUGAAUCUGAAUAACUUUGCCAAUCGCACAGUCCUAGUACUGGCGAUGUAUCUUUCAAGUGUCUGCCUUAUCAACUUUCGAUGGUAGGUUAUACGCCUACCAAGGUAGUAACGGGUAACGGAGAAUAAGGGUUCGACUCCCGAGAGGGAGCCUGAGAAACGGCUACCACAUCCAAGGAAGGCAGCAGGCGCGCAAAUUACCCACUUCCAGAACGGAGAGGUAGUGACGAAAAAUAACGAGACAGUCCUCUUCGAGGUCUGUCAUCGGAAUGGGUACAAUUUAAAUCCUUUAACGAGGAUCUAUUGGAGGGCAAGUCUGGUGCCAGCAGCCGCGGUAAUUCCAGCUCCAAUAGCGUAUAUUAAAGUUGUUGCGGUUAAAACGCUAGUAGUUGGAUCUGCGGCCACGGAGAACGGUCCCCCGAAAGGGCGGUCACUGUCUCUCCUAGCCUAAAUUCGAGUUGUCCCUAGGUGCUCUUUGCCGAGUGCCUAGGGUGACUAGAACGUUUACUUUGAAAAAAUUAGAGUGCUUAAAGCAGGCGAAA
rnacentral:rRNA from 1 species